CCACUCUGAUCCUUGAUACCAGCUAUAAUACAGGAGGAAUUCCAAAUCUAAACUGUACAAAAUAUAGGCCAUCUAGUCACGUGAAUAAGUACUACAAGCACUUCCUUCGCCUCGAGCCCUGUGGAGGGGAAUAAAAAUAGUUUUGGGGUGAGCUAAAAGCUCAGUGAGUAACCAGUAAAAUCAGUAAUCAAAUAUCUUUCACAAUAGUUCAUUUCAAUGAUGUCAUAAAUCAAAUGAUAAGUCCAGAAACAAUUACAACAUUUACAAUGGAAAGCGAUAGUAACAUUCAUUAAAAGGAUACGGGCUCACAUGGAGCUAUUCGUUUGUUCGUUCGUUCCCCUGACAUUUCCCCUUAUUCCUCCAAUCGUUUGAAAAUACAUUUUUUGUAAGUAGAAUCCCUCGUUCAUCCUUUUGUUCGUUCAUCCCCUUUUCCGGACGUUGACCGGACUCCACCCAUCCGACCAUUGGCCGGACUCCACCCAUCCGGACGUAGCCGGACUACAAGGUAAUACUCGAGUAUACCAAAUUCACCCAGGUCACCAUAUCGCCCGACCGAGUCCGCUUCUGGCUCGAGUCGAUCGGUAACAAAGGGCAGUGGCCAAUUCAGCCAAACGGCUUACAUUCAUGCGCAACUAGCAUUUCAAUAAUUAAAUCCUUGAAAAUUGCGCAGUUAUUUAGGUCGAGUGCGAUAAAGUACACACUCGCCUAGAAAGCUCGUUUUGGAAAUCAUUCAAAGCACUUAACACGUUAUCAAUCAAUAAUACAAGUCAUGAAGUCAAGAAAAUAUAGCAAAUAAGGAACACUCACAUACAAGCACGCAUGAUAUGCAAGAAAACAGUUCAAAAGUAACUUUGGAAACAGUUUAAAGGUAAAUAAUGCAAGAAAACGGUACAAAAGUAACUUUGGAAACAGCUCCAAAAGUAAAUAAUGCAGGAAACGGUUCAUAAAUAACUUCAGAAAUAGUUUGAGGUCACUCACCUCCACGGCUCAGAAACCAUCCAUCAUAUAUCAUUACCUUGCCCGAGUCCAAGCUCUAAAUCACAAACUCAAAGCAAUCAUACAUUCUCAAAGUUCGGACAACAUUUCCCCAUAAAUGCUUCAUUUCCAACCUCAACAAAUGAAGCUUGCAAGAGUAAUACUUCACCUCCUCUUGGAAUUCUUGGUUCCCCUAGCUUCUCAAGCUCACAACUCACACUUUAAUCGGUUUAGAAUUUUAAUUCCUCACUUGGACGGCUCAACUCAAGAAGAAGGAAGCUGGUUUCUUGCUCUCUUUCUCUCCUCUCUUGUCUCAG
rnacentral:lncRNA from 1 species